rnacentral:lncRNA from 1 species
GGAUGUUUAUUUUCAUUUAUUUUUAUAGAAAUAUUUUAUUUUUAAUGCUACAUUUGUAUAUAUUAGUAUAAUAUAUAUGAGUAUAUCUCUUUUUAAAACAUAAUAAUUUUAUUGUAUAUUUUUUUUUAUUGAAUUGGUUGUUUUCAGAUCACGUUUUUGGCUUAGAAAAGAUUGAUAAUUAUUUAUUUCCUAUAAUGUAGUAGAAAUAUUAUUUAGUUCCUAUAAUCUAGAAAGUGAGUUAUUUAAAUCUAUAAUAAUGAUA